GUUCCAGACGCAUUACCCACAAAACUACCAAGGUGGCAGUUUUCAAUAGUCAUAAUAACCUUCCUCGUUGGAUUAGGUUCGGGCCCGGUAGCUUCUUGUGACAGCAAUGAAGACCACAUAGAUCCGACCUCAAUGUUGCAGCCAGUUUUUUGGGUAAAGCCUCUGGAGCUAAUUGGAAUUUUGAACAUUUUUAUAUGUAUUUUAGCUUGAGACUCAAACAUUAAUAAACUUCUUUCUUCUUGCUCUGAUUGCAAUUUGCCGAAAAUUUUUAAAUGCUAGGUUAAAUCGAAUUUUCUUCGCCCUGUUUACAAAUUUUGACAUCAAAUUCCCCAAAGAGAUGCUUUGUUGUAGCAAUUCGUUGAUGCGGCCACCUUAUUAAAUACGCCUUGGCCCUAACAUUUAAAAUUUUCGGCAAAUAUCCUUCGACCAAACAGAGCAAGGAGAAUCAUAA